AAGGCGCCAUUAAUAUUCAUUUUUGCGGUACCUUCCGCAGCCCCGAGGCUCGCAAUGCCCUGUGCGGUGCCUGGCUUCAGUUAGCUUCCUGCAGCCAGACGCCAAGCCCCUCCGCCAGAGCCGCGCAGAUUCCGGCGCCCCUGCCCCUCCUACCCAUCGCUCCCACCCAUCGCUCAACGCUCAGGGUCACCAGCCGAGGGUCUGGUGGGGGA
rnacentral:lncRNA from 1 species